CUCUCCUAUACGCAUAAGAGAGAGAAGGAAAGGGAAACAAAGGAAAGAAAAAAAAGAGAAGAAGAAAUUGAUGAAAUCGGUGCCGUUCGACGAGCCGAUCGAUCCCCCGCGCGCGUUGGAUUUUUCCGGCGCUUCGACUGCGAAGAUUCGGAGCCUAGCUUAGAAUUGAUUACAUGUAAACCUAAUUGGGGGUAAAGCGAACGCGUUGGUGAAGUCGGUUCAGCAAUCCGUCGAGCCUACGCGAAGAUAUCGCCAAAAGAACAUUUUCGGCUACAAUUAUCGCGAGCGCGGGUCGCGGUUCUUGGAAAAGUGCGAGAAGCGCAUUUCUCGCAAUCUGGUACAAAAUAAAAGUUACACGCGAGGGGCGCGGCAGCGCGAGGACAGGGUGUAGCUCCGUAGAUAGCGCCCUACCACGGAGACCAGAGAUAGCAAUACCCUGAAGAGGUCAAGCUCA